UACGUAGGGGGCAAGCGUUGUCCGGAUUUAUUGGGCGUAAAGAGCGUGUAGGCGGCCUGGUAGGUCAGCUGUGAAAACUCGAGGCUCAACCUCGAGACGCCGGUUGAAACCAUCAGGCUAGAGUCCGGAAGAGGAGAGUGGAAUUCCCGGUGCAGCGGUGAAAUGCGCAGAUAUCGGGAAGAACACCCGUGGCGAAGGCGGCUUUCUGGGACGGUACUGACGCUGAGACGCGAAAGCGUGGGGAGCGAACAGG
rnacentral:rRNA from 1 species